CUGGUUCCCCACUCUUUCCCCAAAUCAUUCCAUUCCAAACCCUAGCUCGAGCAGGCGCUCACGGCCUUGGCGCGCGGGUCCCGAGCGGCGCGCGCGGCCUGGGCAGCGGCUGUGCAGGCACGUGCGGCCCUAGACGCCCGAACUCGCUCCGUUCUUGCCGGCUCCCUCGGCACCCCUUCCUUGUCAGCACUACUCCGAUGCAUGGCUCCAGCCCCGCUCCAUUUGCAUCAGUGCCCCAUUUGCAAGGGUUAUGGUCAUCGUUGGUACAAUUGCAAAAAUGCUGACCCCGAGGACAUAGCAGCUGUGCAGGCUAUAAAGGGUCCAACAAUAAAAAAAAAGAAAAACAGUGAAACAUCAUGUAAGAGCAGCAUUGUACCUGUUGCUCUAGCACCUAAAACAAUGCAUUUUUCCUCUAGAUCUUGAUCCAUUUCCCAUCAAGUAUCCUAUGCCUACACGUGAAACCACACCACCACCUGCCGCCUCCAAGCCUACAAAAGGGAAGAAAGCUAAAGAGAAGACAAAGGCUGUAGGGAACAGAAAGAAGAAAAUUGUUUCAGUGCCACAUGAUAGUCCAACAAUGGGUACCAGAAGCAAGAUCCCUCAGAAGCAAAGCCCUUCCUUACGUACCGGAAGCACUUCCACUUCCAGACUUGAAUUGCUACUUGAUGUGGUUCUCUUCAGCUUCCGUGGCAAUAGCUAUUUUGCUUGUUCUUUUAUGACCCAAAUCUAUUAUUAGCCCGUGAGAUUUAGUUGUUGUAUGGACAACCAUGGCUGACUGUUCAAUGGUUUGUCUGGAUAUCUAAAACUGCUUGUAUGGCUGUUGUUAGGAUAGCAAAAACUACUUAUAUGGCUACCGUUAUAGAUAUCAUAAACUACUUGUAUGGCUGCUGUUAUGGACAGCAAAAACUACUUGUAUGGUUGCUGUUAUGGAUAGCAAAAACUACUUGUA